UACGUAGGGGGCAAGCGUUGUCCGGAUUUAUUGGGCGUAAAGAGCGUGUAGGCGGCCAUGCAGGUCCGUUGUGAAAACUCGAGGCUCAACCUCGAGACGCCGGUGGAAACCGCAUGGCUAGAGUCCGGAAGAGGAGAGUGGAAUUCCUGGUGUAGCGGUGAAAUGCGCAGAUAUCAGGAGGAACACCGAUGGCGAAGGCAGGUCUCUGGGCAUUAACUGACGCUGAGGAGCGAAAGCAUGGGGAGCGAACAGG
rnacentral:rRNA from 1 species